UUCCGGUUGAUCCUGCCGGACCCGACUGCUAUCAGAGUGGGACUAAGCCAUGCGAGUCAACGCAGCAAUGCGUGGCAUACGGCUCAGUAACACGUAGUCAACAUGCCCAGGGGACGUGGAUAACCUCGGGAAACUGAGGAUAAACCACGAUAGGCCAAGAUUUCUGGAAUGAAUCAUGGCUGAAAUCUACAUGGCCCUUGGAUUGGACUGCGGCCGAUCAGGCUGUUGGUGAGGUAAUGGCCCACCAAACCUAUAACCGGUACGGGCUCUGAGAGGAGGAGCCCGGAGAUGGGCACUGAGACAAGGGCCCAGGCCCUAUGGGGCGCAGCAGGCGCGAAACCUCUGCAAUAGGCGAAAGCUUGACAGGGUUACUCUGAGUGAUGCCCGUUAAGGGCAUCUUUUGGCACCUCUAAAAAUGGUGUAGAAUAAGGGGUGGGCAAGUCUGGUGUCAGCCGCCGCGGUAAUACCAGCACCCCGAGUGGUCGGGACGAUUAUUGGGCCUAAAGCAUCCGUAGCCGGUUCUGCAAGUCUUCCGUUAAAUCCACCUGCUCAACAGAUGGGCUGCGGGGGAUACUACAGGGCUAGGAGGCGGGAGAGGCAAGCGGUACUCGGUGGGUAGGGGUAAAAUCCUCUGAUCCACUGAAGACCAUCAGUGGCGAAGGCGGCUUGCCAGAACGCGCUCGACGGUGAGGGAUGAAAGCUGGGGGAGCAAACCGGAUUAGAUACCCGGGUAGUCCCAGCUGUAAACGAUGCAGACUCGGUGAUGGGUUGGCUUUGAGCCAGCCCAGUGCCGCAGGGAAGCCGUUAAGUCUGCCGCCUGGGGAGUACGGUCGCAAGACUGAAACUUAAAGGAAUUGGCGGGGGAGCACCACAAGGGGUGAAGCCUGCGGUUCAAUUGGAAUCAACGCCGGA
rnacentral:rRNA from 1 species